rnacentral:rRNA from 1 species
GGACCCGCACAAGCGGUGGAGCAUGUGGUUUAAUUCGAUGCAACGCGAAAAACCUUACCUACACUUGACAUACUUGGAAUCUUUUGUAAUGAAAGAGUGCCUUUUGGAGCCAAGAUACAGGUGCUGCAUGGCUGUCGUCAGCUCGUGUCGUGAGAUGUUGGGUUAAGUCCCAUAACGAGCGCAACCCUUACCCUUAUUUGCCAGCGAUUCGGUCGGGAACUAUAAGGGGACUGCCGGUGAUAAACCGGAGGAAGGUGAGGACGACGUCAAGUCAUCAUGGCCCUUACGUGUAGGGCUACACACGUGCUACAAUGGGGAGUACAGAUAGACGCUAAAGCGCGAGCUGGUGCUAAUCUCAUAAAACUCUUCGUAGUCCGGAUUGCAGUCUGCAACUCGACUGCAUGAAGUCGGAAUC